UACGUAGGGGGCAAGCGUUGUCCGGAAUCAUUGGGCGUAAAGCGCGUGUAGGCGGCCCGAUAAGUCCGCUGUGAAAGUCCAGGGCUCAACCCUGGGAUGCCGGUGGAUACUGUCGGGCUCGAGUCCGGAAGAGGCGAGUGGAAUUCCUGGUGUAGCGGUGAAAUGCACAGAUAUCAGGAGGAACACCAAUGGCGAAGGCAGCUCGCUGGGACGUGACUGACGCUGAGACGCGAAAGCGUGGGGAGCAAACAGG
rnacentral:rRNA from 1 species